rnacentral:rRNA from 1 species
UGAUUACUAGCUUGCUAGUAUGAUUAGUGGCGAACGGGUGAGUAAUGCUUAGGAAUCUGCCUAUUAGUGGGGGACAACAUUCCGAAAGGAAUGCUAAUAACCGCAUACCGUCCUACGGGAGAAAGCCAGGGGAUCUUUUGACCUUGCGCUAAUAGAUGAGCCUAAGUCGGAUUAGCUAGUUGGUGGGGUAAAGGCCUACCAAGGCGACGAUCUGUAGCUGGUCUGAGAGGAUGAUCAGCCACACUGGGACUGAGACACGGCCCAGACUCCUACGGGAGGCAGCAGUGGGGAAUAUUGGACAAUGGGCGAAAGCCUGAUCCAGCCAUGCCGCGUGUGUGAAGAAGGCCUUUUGGUUGUAAAGCACUUUAAGUGGGGAGGAAAAGCUAAUAAUUAAUACCUAUUAGACCCUGACGUUACCCACAGAAUAAGCACCGGCUAACUCUGUGCCAGCAGCCGCGGUAAUACAGAGGGUGCAAGCGUUAAUCAGGAAUUACUGGGCGUAAAGCGAGCCGUAGGUGGUUACUUAAGUCAGAUGUGAAAGCCCCGGGCUUAACCUGGGAACUGCAUCUUGAUAGCUGGGGUAACUAAGAGUAGGUGAGAGGGAAGUAGAAUUCCAGGUGUAGCCGGUGAAAUGCGUAGAGAUCUGGAGGAAUA